rnacentral:rRNA from 2 species
UGCAAGUCGAGCGAACUGAUUAGAAGCUUGCUUCUAUGACGUUAGCGGCGGACGGGUGAGUAACACGUGGGCAACCUGCCUGUAAGACUGGGAUAACUUCGGGAAACCGAAGCUAAUACCGGAUAGGAUCUUCUCCUUCAUGGGAGAUGAUUGAAAGAUGGUUUCGGCUAUCACUUACAGAUGGGCCCGCGGUGCAUUAGCUAGUUGGUGAGGUAACGGCUCACCAAGGCAACGAUGCAUAGCCGACCUGAGAGGGUGAUCGGCCACACUGGGACUGAGACACGGCCCAGACUCCUACGGGAGGCAGCAGUAGGGAAUCUUCCGCAAUGGACGAAAGUCUGACGGAGCAACGCCGCGUGAGUGAUGAAGGCUUUCGGGUCGUAAAACUCUGUUGUUAGGGAAGAACAAGUACAAGAGUAACUGCUUGUACCUUGACGGUACCUAACCAGAAAGCCACGGCUAACUACGUGCCAGCAGCCGCGGUAAUACGUAGGUGGCAAGCGUUAUCCGGAAUUAUUGGGCGUAAAGCGCGCGCAGGCGGUUUCUUAAGUCUGAUGUGAAAGCCCACGGCUCAACCGUGGAGGGUCAUUGGAAACUGGGGAACUUGAGUGCAGAAGAGAAAAGCGGAAUUCCACGUGUAGCGGUGAAAUGCGUAGAGAUGUGGAGGAACACCAGUGGCGAAGGCGGCUUUUUGGUCUGUAACUGACGCUGAGGCGCGAAAGCGUGGGGGAGCAAACAGGAUUAGAUACCCUGGUAGUCCACGCCGUAACGAUGAGUGCUAAGUGUUAGAGGGUUUCCGCCCUUUAGUGCUGCAGCUAACGCAUUAAGCACUCCGCCUGGGGAGUACGGUCGCAAGACUGAAACUCAAGGAAUUGACGGGGGCCCGCACAAGCGGUGGAGCAUGUGUUUAAUUCGAAGCAACGCG